rnacentral:sRNA from 1 species
GAGUGAUCCGUGGACGUGGUCACGCUC